AAAGAUGGAGGUAGGGUGAGCAGAAACAAGCCAAGGAGUUUAAGAUGAGUUUUACUUUGUUUUUGUCGUAAAAUCUCAACGGAAACUCCGAUUGAGACGAAACGAAAAGCGUUUCGAUGAGAAUUCAAAGGAGAACGCAAAGGAGGACCCCUUUGAGGCCUGACAGGUCGCUACGUAGCGACUGACGGUCUGACUGGUCGCUACGUAGCGAGUGGAAGCAAGCCAAGAAGAGUCCUACUUGUUUUCGUCGUAAAAUCUCAACGGAAACUCCGAUUGAGACGAAACGAAAAGCGUUUCGAUGAGGAUU